AACAUUUGCAUAUAUAUGUACAUACAUACUCAGUAGCAUUAGGAAGGGUCACCGAAGGUAGAAAAAAAAUAAAAAAAAAAGUAAUAUAAAACGUGCAUAUACAUAUAUACAUACAUACAUAUAUUUAUGUGAGGUAACAAAGGCACAUGAAUACAUGUUUGCGCUUGUUAAG